rnacentral:misc_RNA from 1 species
GAAGAAUGCAGCUGUCCGAAGUCAUCCAUUUCUAAAGUAUUUACGGUUGCGUUGGUUGGCAUUUUACAUCCGUUCAUUUCUCUGGGCACUCACUUGGCCUCUCUGCUCUAAUCGAACAUCUUCUCAAUCCUCAUCUUCCUCAGCAAUCAUGAGUGAUGUCUUCGAAGGAUACGAGCGCCAGUACUGCGAACUCUCUGCAAAUCUCUCCCGUAAAUGCAACUCCACUUCUCUUCUUUCCGAUGGAGAGGAGAAGAAGGUGAAGAUCUCCGAGAUAAAAUCUGGACUGGAUGAUUGUGAUGUGUUGAUUCGGAAAAUGGACCUUGAGGCGAGAAGUCUACAGCCGAAUGUGAAGGCUAUGCUCCUUGCCAAAUUAAGGGAAUAUAAGUCUGAUCUGAAUAAGUUGAAGAGGGAGUUUAAGAGAAUAACGUCUGGUAAUGCUGAUCAGGCUGCCCGUGAAGAUUUGUUAGAGGCCGGAAUGGCCGAUGCAAACGCGGUAAUAUGUUUUGUCGUUCUAAGAUAAUUUGUUCAUUUGUUUUUUGUUCUUUGAUCCAUUAGAUUGAAUCUCAUGUAUUGUAGACUUUUCGUGUAUAUGGUUUCUUUUGAUAUGUUUCUAUAGAAAUUUCUUUCUCAAUCUCUAAUUGCAUCCUACUAAACCUGUCCUUGGUUGCUCUUAGCUGUGCGUAGCUUUCUGGUCAAUUUCAUUAGCUACUUUUCUUGGGGUUCUCUUUAGAGAGUUUAAUUUCUAUGUUCCUUCUGCUGUGAGCUAUUGUUUAGGCUGUAUUGGUGAAUUAGUAUGCGGUAGAACUCAGGAAUAGUUGGUUCCUAUUAGUCAGUUGAGAUACUGCUUUCACAAAUUUCAGUUGAGAACUUGUCAUAUUUAACUUUAUUUUUUCUUUGGCAUCUCUGUUUAAUCAUUUGGUUUCAGUUAUCUGAUGAUUGCAGGGCUUGUUUGAUGCCUUAGCAGUACUUGAACAAUUUUCAAUUGAGUUUUGUGGUUCAUUUGGUGGGGAACUUUUUGUUAAUUGUCAAAUGAUGGUACAGGUUUCUGCAGAUCAGAGAGAGAGAUUGUCUAUGUCAGUAGAGAGAUUAAACCAGUCUGGUGACAGGAUUAAGGAGAGUAGAAGAACAAUGCUGGAGACUGAAGAGCUUGGUGUUUCAAUUCUUGAAGAUUUGCAUCAACAGCGCCAAACUCUCCUACAUGCUCAUAAUAAGGUAUUCUCUAUCUUCUUGGGUGGGGAAUUGGGACAGAGUUUGUUGAGGGAGGGGGUGUUUAAGGUGAUGUCUUUUGUUCAGUUGAUUUCCACUUAAUGUUCAUUGUGUCCAGAUCUUGAGUUCUGAUUACUGUUAUGUCUAUUAGUAAACGGUGCUUGCUGUCUGAUAGGUUUGACAAUUCUUCAAUCGACAAGUGUAUCUGUAUUUGUUACCCAUGUUGGGAACUAACAGGGUGGAAGACUAGAAGUUGCAGAUUGUUGUAUAAUGAUUAAUUUCAUUUUCUUCUUUAUUUUCCAUUUUUCAGCUUCAUGGAGUAGAUGAUGCCAUUGACAAAAGUAAGAAAGUCUUGUCAUCG